rnacentral:rRNA from 1 species
CCUACGUGGAGCAGCAGUGGGGAAUAUUGGGCAAUGGAGGAAACUCUGACCCAGCAAUGCCGCGUGAAUGAAGAAGGUCUUCGGAUUGUAAAGUUCUUUAGUCAGGGAAGAAUAAAAUGACGGUACCUGAAGAAUAAGCUCCGGCUAACUACGUGCCAGCAGCCGCGGUAAUACGUAGGGAGCAAGCGUUGUUCGGAAUGACUGGGCGUAAAGGGUGCGUAGGCGGUUAUACAAGUUAGAAGUGAAAUACCCAGGGCUUAACUCGGGUGCUGCUUCUAAAACUGUAAGACUAGAGUGCAGGAGAGGUUAGUGGAAUUCCUAGUGUAGCGGUGAAAUGCGUAGAUAUUAGGAGGAACACCAGUGGCGAAGGCGGCCUACUGGACUGUAACUGACGUUGAGGCUCGAAAGCGUGGGGAGCAAACAGGAUUAGAUACCCCGGUAGUC